rnacentral:snRNA from 1 species
GUGCCUUAAACUAAUGAGUAAGGAAAAUAUAGAGCUUUGGUAACGCUUAGCUAUGCUAAAUAAUUAAGCGACCAUAUUUUUGAAAAGGUAAAGGUCGUCCCAAGGCAGUAUGAACUACUUUUUCAGACAGUCUGGUGAAGCGAUCUACCUU